rnacentral:rRNA from 1 species
AGGAUGCGAACGUUAUCCGGAUUUAUUGGGUUUAAAGGGUGCGUAGGCGGUAUUUUAAGUUAGUGGUAAAACGUCGGGGCUUCACCUUGAUUGGCCAUUAAAACUGGAGUACUAGAGUACAGACGAGGUAGGCGGAAUAAGUUAAGUAGCGGUGAAAUGCUUAGAUAUAACUUAGAACCCCGAUAGCGAAGGCAGCUUACCAGACUGUUACUGACGCUGAAGCACGAGAGCGUGGGUAGCGAACAGGAUUAGAUACCCUGGUAGUCCACGCCGUAAACGAUGCUCACCGGUUCUGUGCGAUAUACAGUACGGGAUUAAGCGAAAGUAUUAAGUGAGCCACCUGGGGAGUACGUCGGCAACGAUG